rnacentral:rRNA from 1 species
AUUGAACGCUGGCGGCAGGCCUAACACAUGCAAGUCGAGCGGAGCGGCGGACGGGUGAGUAAUGCCUAGGAAGCUGCCUGGUAGUGGGGGAUAACGUCCGGAAACGGGCGCUAAUACCGCAUACUAUCAGAUGAGCCUAGGUCGGAUUAGCUAGUUGGUGGGGUAAAGGCCUACAAAGGCGACGAUCAGUAACUGGUCUGAGAGGAUGAUCAGUCACACUGGAACUGAGACACGGUCCAGACUCCUACGGGAGGCAGCAGUGGGGAAUAUUGGACAAUGGGCGAAAGCCUGAUGCAGCCAUGCCGCGUGUGUGAAGAAGGUCUUCGGAUUGUAAAGCACUUUAAGUGGGGAGGCGUUACUAGCAGAAUAAGCACCGGCUAACUCCGUGCCAGCAGCCGCGGUAAUAC